rnacentral:lncRNA from 1 species
GCCGGCAAGUACUCGUGUGGGCUGGUAGUACACCUGUUGGUGGCACCGCUCGUGGCAAACAUUGGCUUUUGGUAAUGAACGGUGGAGCGUCAUGCAAGUAGCACCGCAAGGUGCCGUGCGCAUGGGGCGAAGCUUAGUAAUUGUUGAUCGCCAUUGGAUGUUGCGGGCAAAACUGGUGGUGGCACCGCUCGUGGCAAACAUUGGCUUUUGGUAAUGAACGGUGGAGCGUCAUGCAAGUAGCGCCGCAAGGUGCCGUGCGCAUGGGGCGAAGCUUAGUACUUGUUGAUCGCCAUUGGAUGAUGAGGGCAAAAUUGGGAGGCGACAUCGCUCGUGGCGGCUCAUGGCUUUUGAGAAUAGAACGUCAAAGUGUCGUGAAAGUAGCACCGCAAGGUGCCGUGCGCAUGGGGCGAAGCUUAGUAAGUUGUUGUUGAUUGCCAUC